GAUGAACGCUGGCGGCGUGCCUAAUACAUGCGAGUCGAGCGAACAGAUGAGGAGCUUGCUCCUCUGACGUUAGCGGCGGACGGGUGAGUAACACGUGGAUAACCUACCUAUAAGACUGGGAUAACUUCGGGAAACCGGAGCUAAUACCGGAUAAUAUAUUGAACCGCAUGGUUCAAUAGUGAAAGACGGUUUUGCUGCCACUUAUAGAUGGAUCCGCGCCGCAUUAGCUAGUUGGUAAGGUAACGGCUUACCAAGGCAACGAUGCGUAGCCGACCUGAGAGGGUGAUCGGCCACACUGGAACUGAGACACGGUCCAGACUCCUACGGGAGGCAGCAGUAGGGAAUCUUCCGCAAUGGGCGAAAGCCUGACGGAGCAACGCCGCGUGAGUGAUGAAGGUCUUCGGAUCGUAAAACUCUGUUAUUAGGGAAGAACAAAUGUGUAAGUAACUAUGCACGUCUUGACGGUACCUAAUCAGAAAGCCACGGCUAACUACGUG
rnacentral:rRNA from 1 species